rnacentral:rRNA from 1 species
CACGUAGGGGGCGAGCGUUGUCCGGAUUUAUUGGGCGUAAAGAGCUCGUAGGCGGUCUGUCGCGUCGGAUGUGAAAAUCCAGGGCUCAACCCUGGACCUGCAUUCGAUACGGGCAGACUAGAGUUCGGUAGGGGAGACUGGAAUUCCUGGUGUAGCGGUGAAAUGCGCAGAUAUCAGGAGGAACACCGGUGGCGAAGGCGGGUCUCUGGGCCGAAACUGACGCUGAGGAGCGAAAGCGUGGGGAGCAAACAGG